UAAGACGAACCGUGCGAACGUUGUUCGGAAUCACUGGGCUUAAAGGGCGCGUAGGCGGGCUCGCCAGUCAGGGGUGAAAUCCCACGGCUCAACCGUGGAAGUGCCUUUGAUACUGCGGGCCUCGAGGGAGGUAGGGGCGUGCGGAACUUCCGGUGGAGCGGUGAAAUGCGUAGAUAUCGGAAGGAACGCCGGUGGCGAAAGCGGCGCGCUGGACCUCUUCUGACGCUGAGGCGCGAAAGCCAGGGGAGCAAACGGGAUUAGAUACCCCGGUAGUCCUGGCCCUAAACGAUGGGCACUAGGUAGUGGACUUGACAUGGGUUCACUGCCGAAGCAAAAGUGUUAAGUGCCCCGCCUGGGGAGUAUGGUCGCAAGGCUG
rnacentral:rRNA from 1 species